CCUGGGACAAGGAAUAAAGAACAUGCACAGUGCUAAAUGAGGACAAGACUGAAGCUUGUUCUAAAUGACGAAAAAUAAGCAGUUGUGAGGAGAUGGAGAAACAGGUCUUCCCUUGAUGUUGUUGGCUGCUGCCUGAUCAGUGGAUGGUUCCUGAAGGAUGGGGUGGCUAUGGUAAUUUCUUAAAGUAAAACAACAAUGAUAAUUUGCCACAUUGA